rnacentral:lncRNA from 1 species
CAUAAAACAGAUUUUCCUUCAACAGCGGUUAAAGCUCUGGUUUACGAAACAGAACAUAAGAAACUAGUGUGAAACUACCACUGAGGCAGUUGUAAAUUCCCUGAGGACACCUCCAGAAGAGGCGGUGCCGGAGGGCUGCCCGUUCCUCUGAGAACAUCCCAAACGCACGAGCGAGAAGGAGGAUCCAGGCCGAAGCCACGGCCUGUGCAGAGCAGCAGACCCCCGGGCACUGCGCUGCAGCUGCGGGAACUGUGCGCUUAUCUCUGGGAUAAGAUGCAGUCACCUGAGUUUUCUGCUCGCCUGCCAGAGUCCCUGUAGGCCACGCCAAGUAGCUUUAGCAGUGUUCUGCUCUGUGUUCCCUAGAGGGUCUGCUAAACUUCGGAGCCACCCGUUAAUAGAAAAUAUUGCAUGAACGUCUCCUGUGUGCCUGUUUUUCUCGUGACAGAAAUGAACAACUGCAAGCCUGAAACAGACUGCUGUAUUGUCAGUGAACAGUGAUGCUGCAAAAGCACAAAACGUGAGCAUUUUCCCAGAUUCACCCUACGGGAGGAUGGUGUAGUCAGAGCUGCCCUGCCAUCAAGUUGCUCUUCUGGACCUAUUGCUUUUGCUGUCAUGUGAGGACAUAUAGGUCGAAGCAUCUUUCCACGUCUUAACGCCAACCCAAAUCCUUACGUGUCCAAUAGCUCUUUCCGUCAGGACUGGUUCACUCAAAGAAAAUUAAUAGCAGAAGAAAAGACUUAUUUCUUCAUCUCCAGAAAAAACACAGCCGUGCUAAUUGGAGUCCUGCUGACACUCUCAGUAUUGGCUGCUGCACAUCCGCAGCUCGAGGGCACGCUGCUGGGCUCUUGAGCUGAGACGCUUCGCUGUAAACGCUGAAAAUAUGACGGCGGAGCUUCGCAAAUUCGGAAAAGGCAAA